rnacentral:rRNA from 1 species
CCUACGGGUGGCUGCAGUGGGGAAUUUUGGACAAUGGGGGCAACCCUGAUCCAGCCAUUCCGCGUGAGUGAAGAAGGCCUUCGGGUUGUAAAGCUCUUUUGUCCGGAGCGAAACGGGCGGCCCUAAUACGGUCGUCUACUGACGGUACCGGAAGAAUAAGCACCGGCUAACUACGUGCCAGCAGCCGCGGUAAUACGUAGGGUUCAAGCGUUAAUCGGAGUGCCUGGGCGUAAAGCUUGCGCAGGUGGGUAAUCCCCGGGCUCAACCUGGGAAUGGCAUUUGGGACUGCAAGGCUGGAGUGUGGCAGAGGGGACUAGAAUUCCUGGUGUAGCAGUGAAAUGCGUAGAUAUCAGGAGGAAUACCGAUGGCGAAGGCAGGUCCCUGGGUUAACACUGACGCUCAUGCACGAAAGCGUGGGGAGCAAACAGGAUUAGAUACCCGUGUAGUC